ensembl:lncRNA
GAUGGUUGCCAGGGGGCUCUGCUCUGAGUCAUCCCCUGGGACCCAGGAUGAUAGAGCAGCUACUUUCUGGAAAUUUGGUGGCUACCUGGGCAGUAGGUUAAUAGAGUUUGGUGAAGAAAGGGUUUUCUCUUAAAGCUUCUGACCGUAAGUGUUGUCACUUGGGUAGAAAUGUGUACUUCAUUGGCCAGAGAGUCACCGGAUCACAAACAGGAGAUGGCUCAGAUGGUAAAGAAUCUGCCUGCGAUUCAGGAGACACAAGAGAUGUGGGUUCAAUCUCUGGGUCAGGAAGAUCUCCUGGAGAAGGGAAUAACAACCGACUCCAGUAUUCUUGCCUGGAGAAUCCCAUGGACAGAGGAGCCUGACUGGCUACAGUCCAUGGGGUCGCACAGAGUCAGACAUGAAUGAGCUACUAACACAUAGGCUCCCCAUGCUGUGUGAUUAAUAAUCGAGGUGUCACAAACAGUGUGUUCCUCUCUGGCGCCUGAGAAAUACAGCUGCUGAGGCCAGCUCGUCUCAUUGGCAGCCUGGGACAAUGAUUUCUUCUGCGUGAGCCUCUUCUGACCAAUUCUUGGAUCCUGACUCUCUGAUGAGUUAUGCUGUGAUGAAUGACAAAUAAACAC